rnacentral:lncRNA from 1 species
AGACUGGCCUUCUCAACACCUCCUGAAAAGCCCCCUUGGGUCUCAUUUUGCUGGGAUGACUAUUUAUAUGACAGGUUUUCUAUUUAGAACCCAACAUGUUCUUUGCUGGGAAAACGUCAGAUGCAAGUGUCUAAGCCCUAGAAGUUUUCUCUGAGGCCUGGAGACCUAAGCCUUUUAACCAAUCCUGUCGACACUGAAUGCUGAUUAAGGACAAUCAGCCUGCUUAUGGAGUUGCAAUUGUCCUCAUGGCUUCCAGAUGACGUCCUUCAGACGAGAGUUCUCUCUUGGGGAGUUAAAAAAGCCUUGGAUUCAGCUGAGCCUCUUUUUCUAGCUCUUCUUCUAAACUGACCACAGAU